rnacentral:rRNA from 1 species
CCUACGGGUGGCAGCAGUGAGGAAUAUUGGUCAAUGGACGAGAGUCUGAACCAGCCAAGUAGCGUGAAGGAUGACUGCCCUAUGGGUUGUAAACUUCUUUUAUAUGGGAAUAAAAUGAUCCACGUGUGGCUUUUUGUAUGUACUAUAUGAAUAAGGAUCGGCUAACUCCGUGCCAGCAGCCGCGGUAAUACGGAGGAUCCGAGCGUUAUCCGGAUUUAUUGGGUUUAAAGGGAGCGUAGGUGGGUUGUUAAGUCAGUUGUGAAAGUUUGCGGCUCAACCGUAAAAUUGCAGUUGAAACUGGCAGGCUUGAGUACAGUAGAGGUAGGCGGAAUUCGUGGUGUAGCGGUGAAAUGCUUAGAUAUCACGAAGAACUCCGAUUGCGAAGGCAGCCUACUGGACUGCAACUGACAUUGAUGCUCGAAAGUGUGGGUAUCAAACAGGAUUAGAUACCCGGGUAGUC